GAGACUGCUGCCCCUUCAUUUCACUCCAGUGAGGACAUUGAUGUUAAAAAGUGGGUAUCCACCAAACAUAUACCAUACAUCAACCUAUCUUCACAGGAAUACUUGACAAUGUAACUAUUUUAACAAAACCAUAUAAUGUAUGUAGCAACACUCUACAAUUUCAUAACACUGAUAACAAUUGUAAAUAUCACAUAAAACAAAUCUACCAACAAGAAUCCAAUUCUUUAACAAAAAUAUAUACCCAGUCCCAUUUUCAUAAAUCAUUUAAAGGGUAACUCCAAGCACCAUGAUCGCUUGAUUCAUUUAAUAAGCGAUAAGAGUACAGAUACACAAAUGCAACAACGUACCCCAAGACAGA